CCACACGACUCUCGGCAACGGAUAUCUCGGCUCUCGCAUCGAUGAAGAACGUAGCGAAAUGCGAUACCUGGUGUGAAUUGCAGAAUCCCGCGAACCAUCGAGUCUUUGAACGCAGGUUGCGCCCGAGGCCACUCGGCCGAGGGCACGCCUGCCUGGGCGUCACG
rnacentral:rRNA from 2 species